CCCCUACGGGGCGCAGCAGGGAAUAUUGCACAAUGGAGGGAACUCUGAUGCAGCGACGCCGCGUGAGUGAAGAAGUAAUUCGUUAUGUAAAGCUCUAUCAGCAGGGAAGAAAGUGACGGUACCUGAAAAAGAAGCCACGGCUAACUACGUGCCAGCAGCCGCGGUAAUACGUAGGUGGCAAGCGUUGUCCGGAUUUACUGGGUGUAAAGGGCGUGUAGCCGGGUUGACAAGUCAGAUGUGAAAUCCUGCGGCUUAACCGCAGAACUGCAUUUGAAACUGUUGAUCUGAGUACUGGAGAGGCAGAC
rnacentral:rRNA from 1 species